CUUGGACAGGUGAAAGUCAGCAAGCUUCCCAGUAGACCAAUUGAUCUGAGUUGCCUCUCUGGCCAGAAGCCAGCCCUGGCAGGGAUCCAACUUCCUCUCAAGCACUGAGAAAGGGCUCAGGUGUAUCUGGUGGCCGGCAGAGCAGGUAGUCAGCCAAGGCUUCAUAGUUCUCACCCACGGCAAUUCAGCUAGCAAACUAGAGACACUUCCCCAAGAAGACACAGCGUGGCAAGACUGCUGAGACGCAUAAAGAAAUCUUAGCUGGUUUCCUGGUUGAAUGUUCUGUUGUAGAAGAAUGCAACUGAGUUUUCUAAACAGAUCUUCUUCUUGACAUCCUUGCUGAACGAGAGCAAAGGAGACAGCUGGGAGCAGAUGGGCAAAUCCCAGUUUGCCCAAAGAAAUGUCUAUUUUCCAAGGGGCAUGAAGAAUUUAGGAAUAAAGCAGAUCUGAUUUCUAAUUCUGACUUUGCUACUGGCAAAUUGUGUGGACUCAGGAAAGUGACCGGCCCUCUUUAAGACUCAGUGUGCUUACCUCUGAAAUGGAGCUGUCAAUCACAUCUGCCUCACAGGCUUGUUCUGAGGAUGAAGUGAGAAAAUGCCCACGAGGUGCUGGUUGCAGCAGCUGGUGCAUAGCCUCCCUGCAGGGGUGAGGGAAGACUGCAAAGGUACAAGAAUGGAUGUUGAGGCUGUCCAGGCAUCUCGCGUCUGAAUGCGCGAGAUGCUAGCCCUGCAUCUCCCAGCUGGAGAACUGCACUCAGUUUGUCUCCUCAUCUGAGCUUAAAAAGGAUGCAGUCCCAAAACAUAGAAGGAUUUACUCCAGAUCCAAGCAAUGAGUCAGGAACAGAAAGCCUGAUGCCCUCACCUGGAACUCUCCCUCCUCCCUGGAUGAGGACCUUCCCCAGAAUUGCAGGGCACCCACACAAGACCAAGCAAGUUCAGAGAAAAUUGAAACCUGACUUUAGAGCCUCUGGGAUGUUCACUACACCUCAUUGAACCUGUUUGGUUCACAGAGCUCCAACUACCGUCUACUUCCUGCAACUGGCCUGCUGCCAACUCCCCAGAUCUCUUGUGGAGCUGCCGGAAGAGACAGCCUGCCACAGAAGAAAGCAGCCCUCCUCUUUCAUGGCCUCCCACAUCUUGAAACAAACACAAGCAAACAAAACAAAAGCUUGAGUCCCAGCCUGAUUCACCAGGUUUGGUUCCCAAUUGUUGAAAUUCCCUUCCCAGGGCUCUCAGAACCAGGGUUGGCUGGAGGGGUGAAAGAGGCUGGCCCUGAGCCCAGUAAUAGGACACCAAGGGGGAGCUAAAAGCUGGGAUCUGGGGUGAAGAUGGGGUCUUCCAAGCUGGGAGGCAGACACCAGGCCAGAGCAACCGGCCUGCCCCAGCUCAGGCCUCUUAACCCAUGCAGGGCAAGAGUAUAAACAGAGGCCACGGACCACAUGCCUCAGUAUUUAAACUUAUAAAUCAAGCUAACAUAACAUGAAAUCAAAUAUGUUCUAUCCUCCUAGCUUGACAAAUACUUUCAUAACGAGAUGGAAUGCCAGGUUCAGAUUUAGAAUUUUCACACUCCUUAAAGUUCCAAGUCAAAAUACAGCAUUAGGGGAGGGCCCCCAACCUCGAGGUCUCCCCUCCCCCAUUUUCUUUCACUCCCAGCUCUGUCUCACACCACGAGGGAUCUUGGGUGAAUGCCCCUCGAUACCCCAGCCCCCCACAAACAGCUGCCCUUUCCCCCCUUGGCCAAGGGUAAGCACAGCAGCAGGGCAGUCUGCCCUUGGCUGGAGAGAUGGAAGGAGAGGCCACACGGGCCCUGAAAAUGCAUUUGGGGACUCUUGGGCAGGAAACUUGGGAGUUUCUGGAGCCUCAAGGAGGGUCUAGUGGGACAGAGCCACUUGGGCCCAUGAGAUCCUUGACCCAUGGAGAAGGGUAGGGCUAGAGGAGGGCCAGGGCAGGCCCUAUGAACAGAAGAACCUAGAGUAACUGCCCUGUCCCCAGAUCCUGUCACCGAGCAGGUAUACUUGGGAGGGUAUUGGAGGGUGGAACCCAAGGGAGCUUGCCCAAGGCACUAGGAAAGAAAAGUGUAAACCUUGUUAGAGAAUGCUAAGGAUAGCUGUUAAAGCCUCAGAGAUUUUACUCAUUUUUGGCUGUUUCUAAAAAUCUUCCCCCAAAGGAAGAUCUUGCUCUCAUUGAGGAUCUGAGAAAGAAUUCUCUCCAAGUAGUUUCAAAACAUUCUGAUGUAAAAACUCUGGUGUGUUAGUCAAAAAUAAAUUUUGUUGCUUGAUGGCUUCACCAUUCACAAAAUAUUCUAUCCAUCCAAUUUAAAAAUAAGAGCAGGGUAUUUAAAACUCUUUCAAUAAACACAAAUUAAAACAAUGAAGCUUG
rnacentral:lncRNA from 1 species